rnacentral:rRNA from 1 species
GACGAACGCUGGCGGCGUGCUUAACACAUGCAAGUCGAACGGAAAGGCCCUGCCUUUGUGGGGUGCUCGAGGGGCGACCGGGUGAGUAACACGUGAGUAACCUGCCAUUGACUUUGGGAUAACUUAAGAAAACUGGGGCUAAUACCGGAUAGGAGCUCCUGCUGCAUGGUGGGGGUGGGAAAGUUUCGGUGGUUGGGGUUGGAAUAGCGGCUUAUGAGCUUGUUGGAGGGGUAGUGGCUUAGCAAGGCUAGGCAGGGUAGCCUACCUGCUAUGGGAGCCGGCCCCGUUGGGCCUGAGAUACGGCCCAGACUCCUACGGUAGGCAGCAGUGGAGAAGAGUGCACUAUGGGCGGAAGCCUGAUGUAGCCACGCCGCGUGCGGUAUGACGGCCUUCGGGUUGGGUUCCGCUUUCGCUUGUGACGAAGCGUUAGUGACGGUAAUGGGUAAAGAAGCACCGGCUAACUACGUG